GGCGGUGUAGCUCAGCUGGCUAGAGCGUUCGGUUCAUACCCGAAAGGUCGGGGGUUCGAUCCCCUCCGCCGCUACCA
rnacentral:tRNA from 12 species